AUUGAACGCUGGCGGCAGGCCUAACACAUGCAAGUCGAGCGAGCGGCGGACGGGUGAGUAAUGUAUGGGGACUGCCCGAUAGAGGGGGAUAACUACUGGAAACGGUGGCUAAUACCGCAUACUAUCGGAUAACCCAUAUGGGAUUAGCUAGUAGGUGGGGUAAAGGCUCACCUAGGCGACGAUCUCUAGCUGGUCUGAAAGGAUGAUAAGCCACACGUGGAUUGAGACACGGACCAGACUCCUACGGCGGCAGCAGGGGGGAAUAUUGCACAAUGGGCGCAAGCCCGAUGCAGCCAUGCCGCGUGUAUGAAGAAGGCCUUAGGGUUGUAAAGUACUUUCAGUCGGGAGGCGUUACCGACAGAAGAAGCACCGGCUAACUCCGUGCCAGCAGCCGCGGUAAUAC
rnacentral:rRNA from 1 species